GGGGAAUAUUGCACAAUGGGCGAAAGCCUGAUGCAGCAACGCCGCGUGAGUGAUGAAGGUCUUCGGAUUGUAAAGCUCUGUCUUUUGGGACGAUAAUGACGGUACCAAAGGAGGAAGCCACGGCUAACUACGUGCCAGCAGCCGCGGUAAUACGUAGGUGGCGAGCGUUGUCCGGAUUUACUGGGCGUAAAGGGUGCGUAGGCGGAUGUUUAAGUGAGAUGUGAAAUACCCGGGCUUAACUUGGGUGCUGCAUUUCAAACUGGAUAUCUAGAGUGCAGGAGAGGAGAAUGGAAUUCCUAGUGUAGCGGUGAAAUGCGUAGAGAUUAGGAAGAACACCAGUGGCGAAGGCGAUUCUCUGGACUGUAACUGACGCUGAGGCACGAAAGCGUGGGUAGCAAACAGGAUUAGAUACCCUGGUAGUCCACGCCGUAAACGAUGAGUACUAGGUGUAGGAGGUAUCGACCCCUUCUGUGCCGCAGUAAACACAUUAAGUACUCCGCCUGGGAAG
rnacentral:rRNA from 1 species